UUGAAUGUUUGGAGUAGUUGAGCUGGUCUUAACAGGCAUGUGCUUGCUGCUUCUAUUCAUCUCAUCCACCUGUGCACUUAUUGUAGAGCUUCGAGGAACGUCCUAGUUCAUUCUGGGACUAGUAUUCCAGUUCUAUGUAUUUUACAAACUCUAUGAAUGUCUUGAAUGUCUUUUAUUGGGACUUGAUUGACCCUUUAAACUUUAUA
rnacentral:misc_RNA from 1 species